GCUCUGUGAUGAGCAGCUGAGCGCGACUAGGCUGCUGUGUGUAAAUUCCCACCUCCACGGCUGUCCGAAUCGGCCGCUCGCUGAGGCGUCCAAUGCCCGAGGAUGAUGCAAAACAUGCCGAAUCACCUAUAUACUGUCGUUGUUUUCCACCACAUGGGCAGGCCCACCACAAUGAUGACUACAAUGAACGCAACUGUCGCACCAAUGCGAAAUUUAUCUGAAAUUCAAAUGAAUUAAUUAUUUUUAUCAUAAAAUUAAUCAAUUUUGGUUGUAUAUAAGUAUAAUCGAAAUGAAAUUACA